rnacentral:rRNA from 1 species
UGGGGAAUAUUGCACAAUGGGCGCAAGCCUGAUGCAGCCAUGCCGCGUGUGUGAAGAAGGCCUCGGGUUGUAAAGCACUUUCAGCGAGGAGGAAGGUGGUGAGCUUAAUACGCUCAUCAAUUGACGUUACUCGCAGAAGAAGCACCGGCUAACUCCGUGCCAGCAGCCGCGGUAAUACGGAGGGUGCAAGCGUUAAUCGGAAUUACUGGGCGUAAAGCGCACGCAGGCGGUUUGUUAAGUCAGAUGUGAAAUCCCCGGGCUCAACCUGGGAACUGCAUUUGAAACUGGCAAGCUAGAGUCUCGUAGAGGGGGGUAGAAUUCCAGGUGUAGCGGUGAAAUGCGUAGAGAUCUGGAGGAAUACCGGUGGCGAAGGCGGCCCCCCUGGACGAAGACUGACGCUCAGGUGCGAAAGGCGUGGGGCAGCAAACAGGAUUAGAUACCCUGGUAGUCCACGCUGUAAAACGAUGUCGAUUUU